rnacentral:rRNA from 1 species
UACGUAGGGUGCGAGCGUUAAUCGGAAUUACUGGGCGUAAAGAGCUCGUAGGCGGUUUGUCGCGUCUGCCGUGAAAGUCCGGGGCUCAACUCCGGAUCUGCGGUGGGUACGGGCAGACUAGAGUGAUGUAGGGGAGACUGGAAUUCCUGGUGUAGCGGUGAAAUGCGCAGAUAUCAGGAGGAACACCGAUGGCGAAGGCAGGUCUCUGGGCAUUAACUGACGCUGAGGAGCGAAAGCAUGGGGAGCGAACAGG